GAUGUAAGUUUUUUUUCUAACCAGAUCGAGCCCAAACCAUGCACUCAGACACCACAAAAGCAUCAACCGCAAAUAAAKCUCAUUUUUUUUCUUAUCCAGAGACAACUUCCCUGCACUCAAACACCACAAAAAAGCGUUUACCUGGUUUAAACGAAAACUUAUUCAAAUGUUUUCACAGAGUGACAUUUUCCAAGAUGUGACAGCUAAAUAUCAAGAAAUUAAAGCAAACAGYCUAACCGUUACAUAUUUCCGCAAUGGGUUACCACACUCCGUUGGUAAAUUGAAUAGUCUUUGUGAUCAAUUUAUACACACACAAGUAAAGAAAUUGCUUUAAAGAGUAACAUAUACACUGAUAUAAAAUGUAACUUUACCCUUUAAAAUUAAUGAAAAGACAGCCGUCUYCAUAAGUGCGCUAUCUGCAAAACCCCAGGAUGUCCUCUUUAGGUCAUUUUUAUGAAAGUGUGCGAGGCUCGACGGCGCCUGCUAACGAACAGUGCACUCAUCAAUUUUAGUAUUUUCAUUCAUCAAAGUACAAUUUUUUGUAGCACAGCAGGCGAGAAAAGGACUGACUAUCUUGAGAAUAAUUCAACAUGACUCAACGUUUGCUUGAGUAGAAAUCAUAGCCACUUACAAAUAAUAUGUAUAAAUUUUAUCAAUAUGAGACUGCAUUGAUACAUAGUGUAAAUGCUAGUUAAUUAUUUCACUAAAGGAAGCUUUCCAAGGCCUGUGUAAAACUC